rnacentral:lncRNA from 1 species
UUCCAACCAUUUUCAGAAAUAUGUAACACUUCCACAGACUGAAAUUGUCUGUUUCACCAUAUUGAAAUAUAAAUUCACAUAUAUUCCACAAAUCAUUUCACAUAAAUUUGUUUCACAACUUGCAACACCACAUUCAAAUAUAUUACAGGGAAGUAAUUACAUAUUUUCAGAGAAGUAAUUUCAUAGAUCUCAGUCUCUUUCAAAAAACUAUACUCCAUGCUCUCUGUCACAAACAAAGAAUGUUCAAAUCAAGUUGCAAAUAUAUGAAAAUGAAGUAGCAGGGGAGGCCGACGAUCUGGUAAAGAAACAAAGAAUGUUCAACAAAUAUCUGAAACUGAAGUAGCAGGGGAGGCUGAUGAUCUAGUAAAGAAACAAAGAAUGUUCAACAAAUAUCUGAAACUGAAGUAGCAGGGAAGGCCGACGAUCUGGUAAAGAAACAAAGAAUGUUCAAAUCAUGCUAAUUAAAUCCGAAAUCAUGAAGUGCAUAUGGAGAGAGGUUAGGAUAGAUGGGAUUGUGGACUCACAAAAUUCGGCGGCGGUCAGGCUUGGAGUCGCCGGAUCUGGCGAUGACCCGUCCUGGUGCCCGUGCUCACGAGCUGAUCACGUCGGGGACGAGAUGGACGAGGAGGCCGCCGAGAGGCGUCGUGGAUGCCGGAUCCAGCGCCAGCCGGUGAAGCCACUACCUUGUUGCCGUCAUCGGACCCAUCGAUGGCCGGGACAGACACACCUCACCGCAAAACUACCUCGCUGAAGUUGACGAUCGCCAGAGUUGGGCGGAGGCUGGUGGGGAAGCAAAUCCGGUGGCCGGAGUUGACGGUCGCCAGAGUUGGACGGAGGCCGGCCGGUCAAGCUUCUGUUGCUCUGGGGAGAGAGAGAGAGGUUGUACGAUCUAAUCUGGAGAUAAUGCGAGAGAGAGACGGGGCUGGUUGGGAGAUAUUUAUUGUUGGGCCCAUCGUCC